GUAUUUCAUUGCGUUAAACGCGACAUACAUUCCAUUAGACUUUAUUUCGGUGUGUGUGUAAAGACAUAGAACCACAGCAGGAGGACAGGGCCCCCCAGGCCAUAGAACUACAGAGGGUGCACAGGUGUGAGUGGAUGUGUAAACAGAGCGUGCACAUGCCCCCAUACAGGGGCCAGCAACAACCCUUGUUGACAAUUCGGUAAUGAUCCUUCCGCAGGUUCACCUACGGAAA
rnacentral:misc_RNA from 1 species